CUCUGAAUAAGAAAAUCUGAACAACGCCUCCCUCUCCAGAGCAGCCUGCCUUCCCACCUUCCCUGUCGGGCUCUUGACGGCACAGAUGCUUCGCACAAGCCCAGCUGGUGGAGUCCAAUGUCGCUGGCUUUGCUGAGUGCCUGGGGAUGCUGAAACCAUCAGGGCAUUCAUGUUACCUUCAGUGGCUGGCCAUGCUAUACUCAUCUGGCUGAAAAGAGAAUCAUAGAGAGAAUAGAAGAUUGGCACAUGACAGAGCCUUGGACUCCCUCCCUGAAGUAAACAGAGCAACAUCUCACACCUCCUGUUGGAGUUAACCAAGUGAUACCAUUUGUAUAUCUGCCCUGCCCAAACCUCAUGUUGAAAUGCAAUCCCCAAGGUGAGAUGCCUGCCUCCCUUUGCGUUCUGCCAUGACUGGAAGCUUCUUGAUGCCUUCUCAGAAGCAGAUGCUGCUAGGCUUCCUGUACUAUCUGCAGAACCAUGAGACAAUUAAACCUCUUUUCUUACAAAUUACCCAGCCUCAGGUAUUUCUUUAUAGCAAUGCAAGAAUGGUCUAAUACACAAAGGCAGCCUCCUACCUGUCUUUCUCAUGCUACCUACAGAAAAUUUCUUAAGUCCAGAUUUGCCCAGAGUCUCCUGGGAAGAUGCUUGAUUGCCCUACAGAGAAGUCUGUCAGUGUG
rnacentral:lncRNA from 1 species